rnacentral:rRNA from 1 species
GAUGAACGCUGGCGGCAGGCCUAACACAUGCAAGUCGAACGGAUCCUUCGGGAUUAGUGGCGGACGGGUGAGUAACGCGUGGGAACAUACCCUUUGGUACGGAAUAGCCUCGGGAAACUGGGAGUAAUACCGUAUGUGGUCGAGAGACGAAAGAUUUAUCGCCAAAGGAUUGGCCCGCGUUGGAUUAGGUAGUUGGUGGGGUAAUGGCCUACCAAGCCGACGAUCCAUAGCUGGUUUGAGAGGAUGAUCAGCCACACUGGGACUGAGACACGGCCUAGACUCCUACGGGAGGCAGCAGUGGGGAAUCUUAGACAAUGGGGGAAACCCUGAUCUAGCCAUGCCGCGUGAUCGAUGAAGGCCUUAGGGUUGUAAAGAUCUUUCAGGUGGGAAGAUAAUGACUGUACCACCAGAAGAAGCCCCGGCUAACUCCGUGCCAGCCGCCGCCGUAAUAC